UAGAAAUGAGGUCUUGCUAUGUUACCCAGGCCAGUCUUGAAUUCCUGGGCUCAAGUGAUCCUUCUUCCUCCGCCUCCUAAAGUGCUGCAAUUACAGGCAUGAGCCUUCAUACACAACCAAAUGGUGCCCUUAUGAGAGAAAAAUGUCAUGCAAAGACAUGGACACAGAGAGGAGUCCGUUCUGUGAGUGGAAGCCAAGAUUGGAGCAAUGCAGCCACAAGCCAAGGACUGAUUGCCACCUCCAGAAACUAGAAAAAGUCAAAGAAGGAUUCUAUCUAGAAUCUCCAGGAAAUCAUCACCUUGUUGCUAACUCUAUUUUGGAUUUCUAGUUCCCAGAACUAUUCAUUCCUCUGAGGACCCUCAAGUACUUCAGAAGAACUAAAAAAUGAAUAUCACGUUACACCAAAGAAGAAAUGAAAGCUGCCAGUGUCUUCUGAAGUUAAACAGGCUCCUGUUCUUUGACCCAGCAAUCCAAUCCUAGUGCCAUGUUUGUGGACAUCCCCCCACUGCCCUUCAUCCUCAGAAAGGAACAGCCUCCUGUGGGUUGACUUGGUGAUAUCUGUCCAUAGAUAAUGUCUCCAGCCCCAGGCUCAUCACUCAGACAUCUGCCCUCAGGAGGACACGUUCAUCCCCAGCACCAGAGACAUGUCUGCCAAGGCUUUUGGAACUGAUUUUAUCCCCAUGCAAAAAGCUAGAUUCUAAUUCUGUCUGAUCACAAAAGGUUGAAUCAAAGCCCUACAACUGAGGUUCAUAGACCAAAACAAGAAAUACAUGGAAAAGUUGCCAAAGGAUUUUAGAAGAUCAGAGGCUGUAAUUCAUUAUAGAUGUGGAUCCUUUUGCUUUCCUCUAAGGAAAAAAAAUAUUCAAUUUUAUUAAGAAAAAAUUCCCACUAACUGUGGCCAUGUUCAAAGCACUCACAGAAAAUAUUUUGAACGCACAGGGUUUCGCUCAAGGAAGAAUAUUCAUCAUUUCAGGGUGGGGGAAAGGAGCUGGUCAUUCAUUUUCUCUCACCUUAUCCUAACAUUUAUAGUUAAAAAGGGAUGGAUUUGUCUUUGCCUAAUCUCCAUGACAAAGCAAUUCUUGCCUGACCUCUCAAAUUCUCCCCACUCCAGAGAUUGUAUGACCAGAAGGUGGGAUCAUAAAUUCCCAAGAGAUGACAAAGGUGAAAAUGGAAUCAACAAUCACUACCUAAAUUUUCAGGCUCUGAGACACCUUCCUAAACUAUAUGAAUAAGCCACAGCAAAAUGCUUAAAUCUCUCCAGCUAUUUUUUCUUUCAUUGAUAAGUUAUAUUUCUUUUUGAAGGAAAGAAAGUAUCUACCUCAGCUCUUAUUUGUUAAAACUUACAUAACAAAGACACUACAGGUGAAAACACAGCCACCAUCACUCUAUAUUAUUUUCUAAAAUGAUUUAUAACAUAACAUUCAGCAUAGAUAACAGUAAAAGUUUAAAGAGGAUCAUGAAAUACAAAAUAAAUCCAAUUUAAUAAAGUGAAAACAAAAUCAUUGUUCUUUUGUAAAUGUUGAUCACAAAGCUUAAAAAAUGUACUUGAAAUGAAAAGCUUCAGAAAUAAAACAGUUGUACCAAAUUCAGUUUAGUAUUUUGUAUUUAGUAUGUACCAAAUAAAUUUUUAUUAAAUUAUUCAUGAUCUGUGUCACCAACAACUGUGAUGAUCAAUACACAGUCAUAUGAUCUUGGGUGAAGUCUGUGCAGCUCAACAUAAUUCAGUUAAUUCAAUACUGUAAGUGCCGCUGCUAAUUUGCCCAAAUUAUACUAUCAAUUCCUCCUUAAUUAU
rnacentral:lncRNA from 1 species